rnacentral:rRNA from 1 species
UACGUAGGGUGCGAGCGUUAAUCGGAAUUACUGGGCGUAAAGCGUGCGCAGGCGGCUUUGCAAGACAGAUGUGAAAUCCCCGGGCUCAACCUGGGAACUGCAUUUGUGACUGCAAGGCUAGAGUACGGCAGAGGGGGAUGGAAUUCCGCGUGUAGCAGUGAAAUGCGUAGAUAUGCGGAGGAACACCAAUGGCGAAGGCAAUCCCCUGGGCCUGUACUGACGCUCAUGCACGAAAGCGUGGGGAG